AUUGCUUUGGAUUCUCCAAAGAAAAUAAAUAAAUAAAGAAAAAUUUUCAAGUAUCAUUCCUGUAGUUUUGUAUUUUCUCGCUUUAGUACUAUGUGAUUUAAAGUGUAUCACUUUCGUACGUACCUUAUGUUUUUAUUUUUUAUUUUUUUUGUUAUUCCCUCCACUAAUUUUUUUCGUUAAAUACGCGACAAAGUUAAAACUAAAGGGUAUUAAAGUAAAUAUUCGAUAAACUAUAUGUAGAGUAUCUGAAGUUUUUUGUAUUUGAUUUAACGAAAAAUUAAUGAAUGGGCUGACAAAAAGGAAAAAAAAAAAUGAAAUAAUAUGAUACUAAAUUAAUACACUUUAAAUCAUAGGAUGUUAAAGUGAAAAAGUAUGAAAUCACGGAAAUGGUAUUUGAAGUUUACCCAUAAAUAAAUAAAUAAAUGAAAUGUUGUUUGUA
rnacentral:lncRNA from 1 species